CACGUAGGAGGCGAGCGUUUGUCCGGAAUCAUUGGGCGUAAAGAGCGCGCAGGCGGCUUGGCAAGUCGGGUGUGAAAUCCCCAGGCUUAACCUGGGAACUGCAUUCGAGACUGCAUUGCUAGAGUAUGGGAGAGGGAAGUGGAAUUUCCGGUGUAGCGGUGAAAUGCGUAGAUAUCGGAAGGAACAUCAGUGGCGAAAGCGACUUCCUGGACCAAUACUGACGCUCAUGUGCGAAAGCGUGGGGAGCAAACAGG
rnacentral:rRNA from 1 species